rnacentral:misc_RNA from 1 species
UUCUUUUCUUGAUCAUUCAUCUAAGCUAUAUAUAAACUCAUCAAUUAUUCAAUACGAUACACAACUUUUCCUACUCGUUUAUAUUUAGCUAAAGAAUUUCUUCAUGGUAUCAGAGUACAACCUGUGUUACUGAUUAUUCUUCUUUCUGAUCAAAUCUGAUAUAGGGACUCACCUUAUAAGAUCUAAUUUCCAAUUUUUUUUAGUUUCCUUGCUCAAGCUUCUAAGAAAUGUCUGAAGUAUUGAAUACCGGUAGUAACAGUCAAGCUACUAGAGGAGGGAAAGAUACUCUUCAUCUGCAUAAUUCUGACCACCCUGGUAUGUUACUUGUACAUGUACCAUUGACUGGAAAAAAUUAUCUAUCAUGGAGUAGAUCCAUGAUAAUAGCUUUACAAGCCAAGGAUAAACUUGGCUUUAUUGAUGGAAGCUGUGAGAUGCCUACUGUUGGAUCUACUACUUUUGACAAAUGGAAGAAGGUUGACAGCAUGGUGACUUUUUUGAUCUUGUGUUCUCUCUCAAAGGAACUUGUGGAUGCUUUCAUUUAUACUUCUUCUUCAAAAGAUAAGAUUGAACCAACUGGAGUUGAUUGGGCAAACAUGAUCCAGUAAGGAAUAGCCAAGUUCUUGCAGAACCAACACCCUGGGACUUACGAGACCAGACAUCUCUCAUGCGACACAGAAACUAAGCCAGUUCAUGGAAACUCCAAGGUGCCCACACUGAGUUCCAUGUCGUGAAAUAUUUGAAGGGUCGUCUUACCAAAAGUUUAUUCUUCCCCUUCGUAAAUGAUUUGAAACUUUGAGCUUUCUGUGACACAGAUUGGGCACCUUGCCCAGUGAUAAAAAAAUCGACAACAAGAUUUUUUAUCUUCUCAAGACCCUCACUAAUAUCUUGGAAAGCAAAAAAGCAAUCCAUUGUAAGCCCCUCUUCGGCUAAAGUAGAGUACAGAAAAAUGGCCAUGACCAUUUGUGAAUUACAAUGGACGAGCUACCUCAUUGGUGAUUUUGGAUUGAAGUUAUCUCUCUCGAUUGCUCUAUAUUACGAUAACAAAGCAGCAUAGCAUAUAGCAGUUAACCCGAUCUUCCAUGAAAGAACAAAACUUCUGGAGAUUGAUUGUCAUGUCAUUCGUGAUAAGUUGAACAAAGGCUUUAUCACCACCAUGCAUGUGCCGUCACGACAUCAACUAGCAGAUCUUUUCACCAAACCCUCAUCCUCUG